rnacentral:rRNA from 1 species
AGCGUAGACGGUGUGGCAAGUCUGAUGUGAAAGGCAUGGGCUCAACCUGUGGACUGCAUUGGAAACUGUCAUACUUGAGUGCCGGAGGGGUAAGCGGAAUUCCUAGUGUAGCGGUGAAAUGCGUAGAUAUUAGGAGGAACACCAGUGGCGAAGGCGGCUUACUGGACGGUAACUGACGUUGAGGCUCGAAAGCGUGGGAGCAGACA